rnacentral:lncRNA from 1 species
AAUAUUGUAUUAAUGUGUUUGAUUUAGUGUAGCAAUAUAAUAUCGAACAUGCAUAUAUAUAAGAUUACUGUAUUUGAUUUGUCUUUCAGUAAUUUUGUGUUUGGAAGAGAAAGAAAGAUAGAGUAUUGAUUCAAAACCUUAGAACAGAAAGAUAGAUAGGAGGAUAGAACCCUUUAUGAUUGAAACGAAGAGGUGAGAAGAGAUUUAUGAAGUGUAAAAGAGUAAUUUGGUAAUUUUU